rnacentral:rRNA from 1 species
GACGAACGCUGGCGGCGUGCUUAACACAUGCAAGUCGAACGAUGAUGCCCAGCUUGCUGGGUUGAUUAGUAGCGAACGGGUGAGUAACACGUGAGUAACCUGCCCAUCACUCUGGGAUAACUCCGGGAAACCGGUGCUAAUACCGGGUAUGACUCCGAUCCGCAUGGGUACGGGGUGGAAAGAUUUAUCGGUGGUGGAUGGACUCGGCCUAUCAGCUUGUUGGUGGGGUAAUGGCCUACCAAGGCGACGACGGGUAGCCGGCCUGAGAGGGUGACCGGCCACACUGGGACUGAGACACGGCCCAGACUCCUACGGGAGGCAGCAGUGGGGAAUAUUGCACAAUGGGCGGAAGCCUGAUGCAGCGACGCCGCGUGCGGGAUGACGGCCUUCGGGUUGUAAACCGCUUUCAGCUCUGACGAAGCUUUUGUGACGGUAGGAGCAGAAGAAGCACCGGCUAACUACGUGCCAGCCGCCGCCGUAAAAC